rnacentral:rRNA from 1 species
CAGCAGCCGCGGGAAUACGAAGGGGGCUAGCGUUGUUCGGAAUUACUGGGCGUAAAGCGCACGUAGGCGGAUAUUUAAGUCAGGGGUGAAAUCCCGCAGCUCAACUGCGAAACUGCCUUUGAUACUGGGUAUCUUGAGUAUGGAAGAGGUUAGUGGAAUUGCGAGUGUAGAGGUGAAAUUCGUAGAUAUUCGCAGGAACACCAGUGGCGAAGGCGGCUAACUGGUCCAUAACUGACGCUGAGGUGCGAAAGCGUGGGGAGCAAACAGGAUUAGAGACCCCCGUAGUCCCUGUCUCUUAUAC